AUACGGAGGAUCCGAGCGUUAUCCGGAUUUAUUGGGUUUAAAGGGUGCGCAGGCGGCCAUUUAAGUCAGCGGUUAAAUCGUGGGGCUCAACCCCAUUCUGCCGUUGAUACUGGGUGGCUUGAUUGCGGUCGAGGUUGGCGGACUUCGUUGUGUAGCGGUGAAAUGCAUAGAUAUGACGAAGAACACCGAUUGCGUAGGCAGCUGACCAGACCGCAAAUGACGCUCAUGCACGAAAGUGCGGGGAUCGAACAGGAUUAGAUACCCUGGUAGUCCGCACAGUAAACGAUGAAUACUUGUUUUCGGCGAUAUAAUGUCGGAGGCAAAGCGAAAGCGAUAAGUAUUCCACCUGGGGAGUACGCCGGCAACGGUGAAACUCAAAUGAAUUGGCGGGG
rnacentral:rRNA from 1 species